GGGGCGGUAGCUCAGCUGGGAGAGCGCUGCGUUCGCAAUGCAGAGGUCGGGAGUUCGAAUCUCCUUCGCUCCA
rnacentral:tRNA from 1 species